UUCUCCCACGGCGACGGUGGUAAGAGCUGAAGAACCCUCGUGCGGUUGUCGUCUCUCUUGUGUUUCUACCUCAUUUAUUUGUGGGAUUCCGUUCAGGGUUUGUAAUCCGUGGCCAUCAUGAAUAGAGGAUUUGAUUGGAAUUGUACAUUUUGGCUAAUAAAAACUACAUCAAUUUGGCGUGAUGUCGCAGCUAUUUGGGUCGGAAAACAUACCUAGUUAAAGCGAAUGCAGUCAGAUCACCUUUCUUGUUUCGAGCAGAGAUCUCAUAGCUUGGUGUGCCUUCUGUUUGCACGUCGAAUUCGUGCUUUUGAUUCAGUCAAAAUAUCAUCUAAGGUUGCAAGCAAGAAUGCUACCUUUUGCUUUUAUGAGAACAAAAUAUCAAAAGGAUGCGACAACAAAAUCCUAUUGGCAGAACAUGUGACACCAUUUUUCAUGGCUUGACUACCUCUUGGAAGCGCAUUUGGUUGUUUGCGGGGAGAUCUGUAGUUGUUUGAUUAAAUUACAGUGACUGAAUCAUUACAGUGUUUACAUUCUGGACACCUCCUGUCCUCCAUUGCCCUUCAAACAAAGUGAUUGGUGCAAUCACAGUUCCCCAUGGCCUGACAACACCAGCAGCAAGAGGAUGGGAGGUGUUCUCUUGCAAAUGUAAAUGGAAGGGAUGCCUACUGCACAUAGAAAUGGAACAUGUACGUGUCAGAGAAGGGCAUUGAACCGGAUUAAGAUUAACAGAUUUGCUUUGCAUCUUGUUGGCUUCUGCUCUUUAUUCUGGUGAGUGAUGGAAUCCAAUUAUUGGGCAUUGGUGGUGUACAAACUCCUAAUAUUGUAUUCUAUCAACCUCAAUAAUGUUUACAACCAUUCAUCCUUCAGCCUGAAGAAUCAGAAUGAGUAGGUGAAUGGUUCCUGAUAGAGUCUCAUCUGAUUCUGAUAUCUUGCGGUAGGAUUUCCGAGUGGAAAUGUAUUUGGUACUACAGGAGAUUAUGCAGUGCUAUAUUUUACA